rnacentral:rRNA from 1 species
AGAGUUUGAUCAUGGCUCAGAUUGAACGCUGGCGGCAGGCUUAACACAUGCAAGUCGAGCGGGGGAAGGUAGCUUGCUACCGGACCUAGCGGCGGACGGGUGAGUAAUGCUUAGGAAUCUGCCUAUUAGUGGGGGACAACAUCUCGAAAGGGAUGCUAAUACCGCAUACGUCCUACGGGAGAAAGCAGGGGAUCUUCGGACCUUGCGCUAAUAGAUGAGCCUAAGUCGGAUUAGCUAGUUGGUGGGGUAAAGGCCUACCAAGGCGACGAUCUGUAGCGGGUCUGAGAGGAUGAUCCGCCACACUGGGACUGAGACACGGCCCAGACUCCUACGGGAGGCAGCAGUGGGGAAUAUUGGACAAUGGGGGGAACCCUGAUCCAGCCAUGCCGCGUGUGUGAAGAAGGCCUUAUGGUUGUAAAGCACUUUAAGCGAGGAGGAGGCUACUUUAGUUAAUACCUAGGGAUAGUGGACGUUACUCGCAGAAUAAGCACCGGCUAACUCUGUGCCAGCAGCCGCGGUAAUACAGAGGGUGCGAGCGUUAAUCGGAUUUACUGGGCGUAAAGCGUGCGUAGGCGGCUUAUUAAGUCGGAUGUGAAAUCCCCGAGCUUAACUUGGGAAUUGCAUUCGAUACUGGUGAGCUAGAGUAUGGGAGAGGAUGGUAGAAUUCCAGGUGUAGCGGUGAAAUGCGUAGAGAUCUGGAGGAAUACCGAUGGCGAAGGCAGCCAUCUGGCCUAAUACUGACGCUGAGGUACGAAAGCAUGGGGAGCAAACAGGAUUAGAUACCCUGGUAGUCCAUGCCGUAAACGAUGUCUACUAGCCGUUGGGGCCUUUGAGGCUUUAGUGGCGCAGCUAACGCGAUAAGUAGACCGCCUGGGGAGUACGGUCGCAAGACUAAAACUCAAAUGAAUUGACGGGGGCCCGCACAAGCGGUGGAGCAUGUGGUUUAAUUCGAUGCAACGCGAAGAACCUUACCUGGCCUUGACAUACUAGAAACUUUCCAGAGAUGGAUUGGUGCCUUCGGGAAUCUAGAUACAGGUGCUGCAUGGCUGUCGUCAGCUCGUGUCGUGAGAUGUUGGGUUAAGUCCCGCAACGAGCGCAACCCUUUUCCUUACUUGCCAGCAUUUCGGAUGGGAACUUUAAGGAUACUGCCAGUGACAAACUGGAGGAAGGCGGGGACGACGUCAAGUCAUCAUGGCCCUUACGGCCAGGGCUACACACGUGCUACAAUGGUCGGUACAAAGGGUUGCUACACAGCGAUGUGAUGCUAAUCUCAAAAAGCCGAUCGUAGUCCGGA